UGUCUACUGUCUAGUUUAUGCUUUUGAUACAGUUGUAAUAACAAUGAUUAUUAAGAUUUCUGAUUACAAAGAAAACGAAGAAGGCCUACCACAUGAAGACCAUAGUUAACCAUUUGUUGGCCAAAAAUAAACAAACUAUCAUAUCUAAAAAUGAAAAAGGUAGUUAUACAGAAAUGAGACAUUUAACUAUAAAUAAUCUAUUCAUAGAAUUCUAAAUAUUCUUAAUUACAUUUAAAUAAAAAAAAAAUUCAAAACAUCAUAGGCAAGUAGUAAAAAAAUGUACAAAUUAAUAAAUUGAAAUUAUAGAAUGUUUAGUACAAUUGGAAUAAGUUAGCGCAUAAUAGAUAAACAGAUA
rnacentral:lncRNA from 1 species